GGACACUGCCAGGGAUCCAGCCACAUCUUCUCUGGGCACCCUGUGCCAGGGCCUCCCCACACUCACAGUGAAGAAUUUCUUCCCUAUAUCCAGUCUAAGCCUGCCCACUGCCCCUUGUCCUGUCACUCCACGGCCUUGUCAAAAGUCCCUCUCCAGCUUCCUUAUAACCCCUUUAGGUUCCAGAAGGUGCUAGAAGGUCUCCCCAAAGCCAGAGGGCAAGCUGAACACCCCCAGGUGUCUCAGCCUGUCUCCACUGCAGAGGGGCUCCAGCCCUCCAUCACCUUUGUGGCCUCCUCUGGACUCACUCCAGCAGGUUCAGAUCCUUCCGAUGUUGGGCUGCAGAGGGGUCUGGUGCUGCUGUGCUGGAAGCUGGAGCACAGUUCUGGGUGUUCAGGUCAUGUCUUACACUGCAGCUGGAGCACAGAAAUCACUGUUCUGUUUCCCAAACUCAAAUGGAAAACUAAAGCUGGUUAAAUGGGGGAUAACAUCUGUACCUACUCCUUUGACACUAUUUCCUGUCCCAUAAGAUUAAAUUCUUCAUUGUGCAUUUAAGGAAAUGUUAUACCUACCCCACAGAGCAGAGGAGCAAAUUUUCCCAGGGAGAUCAUCUGCAUUUCCAAACAGGACUUCUCCCUGACAGAGCCAGAAGGAAGAAUGAGGCAAAAAAGAUUAUAAGAUCUAUUCACUUCAGGACAAAAAGAUCUUAAACUAAUUUAAAUAUUUUGUUUCCCACCCAUGGAGAUUAAGCAGGAUCAUAUAGACAAAUUCCCCAAAAGGAAAUAAACAGAUAAUAAACCAGUAGACAAUUUCCUUUUCUUUCUUAGCAAACCACACCAAGACAAAUUUCUCAGAAGAGCCAGGAGCAGAGCUGUGGGAAGUUCUUCAGGGUGCUUGUGCAUGCCCCUUAUAGAGAUGCCUCCUCUUUCAAGUAGCAGCUGUAGGGAUGCAAACCAGAGAAGUAUUUUAUUGAAUACUGGAGGGGUCAGAGGGAAAUUGAUCUUAGAAAAGCUCAAGUUGCCCUGGAUGCAGUCAUUAAGGAAAACCUUGUAUUAAUUCCUGCCAGGAAGGGCAUCAUCCUGGCAUUGUGCUGCAAUGCCCAUCUAACACCUUCACUGGAGCCAGCUCUGUACCCUGCUGGCAGAACUGCUCUGGGACAGCAGAAACCCAGCUGGCAGUGUUUGUACCCCUGGCUGCUUGUUCCUGGCCCCCCUCCUCUUGAGGUGGCUUCUCUGUGGAAGCUGUUUUGAUCAGUGGUGUGGGAGAAGAGGCUCUUUCUCCAUGAGGAUCGUGACAUGAUUUUCUAUUUUAAGCUGUGCAUGUUCAAGUCGCUGUCUCAUUGUCCUGCUUCUCCAUGCACAGGAGCUCAUGAAAUUAUUUGUUCCUAUUUGUGGCCACAAGGAACAUCAGUUUACAGGGCUGACUUCCACCACAGGAAAUGGAGAAGAAUUCGGGCUGGGUGGUGGGGGAUGCACCAGGAGAGCAUCUCUAUGGCGGCUGCUGGAGCAAGGGAAGCAGCAGCAGCAUCUUGUGCUGUCUGUGCCAGCUGCAGACACCUGAGCACAAUGGGGAGGUCUGCUAGGGAGGGGAGAGUAACUCCCAGCUCUGAUCAACUGAGUCCAGCAUCACAUUCCUGUCUCAGGAGCAUUACAACCUGCUUCCUGGCUCCUGGAGUCAGCAUGAGGCUUGAGCCAAACAGGCUUGGAGUCUGUAAAUGGAUCUUGCCCUCGGGGCAUUUACAACUUUCCCAUCCUCUGGGUACAGAAGGUGCCUGGAGCAGCUGUGCUACCAACCUUUGUGUGUGGGAGCUGAGACACAGCCAGCUCCAGGAGGAACUACCCUGGAAUGGGACAAAUGCCAUCAAGUGAGUGAUCCUAUCUUGUUAGAUGGUCAGACAGGGAAGAACAGUUGAGAAUUGAUGUUGCUGAUGCAAAUCUGCUGGCUUUUCUUUUCCAGCAGCACUUUGCAAAUGUUGAUCUCAGAUAUACAUACCCUCUGAUGAUCCAGGCUUUGUGGCAUCUGUUUUCUUUGAAUGUCAGUGUCACAUCCAUUGCCAGCUAUCUGGCUUCCGUGCUGCAUUAUCCUACUUCAAAAAACAGUGAAUAAACAAGGUGCUGGUGUUACAGGACAACUAAUGAUUCCGUUUAUCUACCACCUAUAGAGACAAGCCCAGAGGCUACACCUGAAUUGCUGUUUUGCUCUUUCAGUAACAGACCUUCUUUGACACAUGUAAUUUUUAUAAUAGCUGGAAAGAAUGUCACCUGCCCUGUUAAGAGAUAAAUUAUCCUACCCUUGGCCAAAACAUACUCCCUGUGUCUCUGGAUCCUUCUUCUGAGGAGGCAAAAUUAAGAAUUCCUCACUGAAGAAAGAUUAGCAGCUGCCGCAUCCAGAAAUACCUCUCUUAUUCUAAACCAAUUAGCAAAGGAUAAUGACUGGUUUCUUUGCACUGGGAAACCAUAAAUAACAUCACCUGUGAUCUCUGCAUUUGAGGGUGUGAGAUGCUGGAGUAAAUUUUUGUCUAAAUAAAGUGUUUGGCUUAAUUCUUUCCCUCCACAUCUUGGAUUUUCAGGAACACCAUGAAAAGAAAUCAUGGUGCCAGUUUUGUCUUGGCCAGUGAAGGCAAGAAUCUUUGGGCCAGUGAACCUAACACUGAAACUUUGAGUGACUAUUUAAAAAAUAUUAGUUCAAGGUACAAGUGAAGAUCAUGGUCAGGUGAAGAGAUACUAAAAGAUCUGGGCUAAAACAUGAAGUCUAAUAGAACAUUUCUGGAAUGUUCUAAAACUUUGUGCAAAUACCAUUAAAUGCACCAGUAUGGAUCAGUUCUGUCAAAAUACCCAAGAUUAAAAAUGCCACCUCACAGCUUCAUCUGCUCCAAGCAGUUAGAGGUGCUGCUCCCACAAUUAGAGGAACCUUCCUAUCACCCUUCUCUGUCCUUAGGUAAUUGAGUCUUGACAUUUGGAACAUUCUUGAAAACUUCCAGUAGUCACUUCAAAUCAAGGAUGCUUUACAGAGACACAAUAUCCUUUUUUUUUACACUCUAUUGACAAAACUCUCCCUCUGUGCUGUCCCCUCUCCAGGACCCACUGACAACUCCACAGCACGAGUAGCCAGGGUCCUGCUUUAACACUUACUGUCUGAGUCACCAGAAUUCUCAUGUCCCAUCUCUGUUUUGUGUAAAAAGUCUUCUUUGUAAUGUAAUGCAUUCUCAUUCUCUCCCAAAAGAGCCGGUGGCAACAGAUCUCCAGUGUCCUGAUUUUGGACGUCAAGUCUCAAAACUAUUUACAAUCCAGGGCUAUUUGGUUCAAGCACAUCUGUCAGAAAAACAUCAUCAUGACACAGAGAAUCUGUUUUCUCACUGGUGACCCAUAAGAUUCUAGAUCUGGCACAUCCAUCGCCACAGGGUGCUGUUACAAAGCCUGUAAGCUCAAAUGGUUUAAAAACAAAAUCAAAUCUCUCGCUGACAGUGAACACGAUUUGUAGCUGAUACUGAAAGCAUCGAGCAGGAUUUCCAAGGCGAGGCUUUUCCCGGGAACAGCGGUCUCAGCCCAGCCUUUCCCGGCUGGACGGGCCACAGGUGUUCCUGCAUUGCCACCUGCUGGGGGCUGCGCCAGGGCAGGGACACGGGGACACCUCCUGCAGGAGCCCCAUCCAUCUCCAGUGGUCCCCCCACUGUGGCUCUACCCCGGCAGAAAUGUCCCGGGCUGCUCCUGCAGGGGGAAAUAAACAGAGCCUAUGGUGUCCUUAAUUCACUGGACACACUUGUGGUGAAGAGUGAUGAACUUCAGAGAAUUAUAAUGUCAAUUUUUUCUCUUAUCUGCAAAUAAACUAAUUGUAAAAAUA